rnacentral:rRNA from 1 species
GAUGAACGCUAGCGGCAGGCUUAAUACAUGCAAGUCGAGGGGCAGCAGGACUGUAGCACUACAGUUGCUGGCGACCGGAAAACGUGUGCGGAACACGUACGCAACCUACUCAACACUGGGGGAUAGCCCGGGGAAACCCGGAUUAAUACCUCGUAACCUUUUUAAGUAUCAUCACUUGAUAAGUAUAGCUCCGGCGGUUUUGGAUGGGCGUGCGCCUGAUUAGGUGGUUGGUGCGGGUAACGGCCCACCAAGCCUGCGAUCAGUAACUGGUGUGAGAGCACGACCAGUGAGAGGGGCACCGGGACACGGGCCCGACACCUACGGGAGGCAGCAGUAAGGAAUAUUGGUCAAUGGACGCAAGUCUGAACCAGCCAUGCCGCGUGAAGGAUGAAGGUGCUCUGGAUUGUAAACUUCUUUUAUGAGGGACGAAACCCGGAGAUUCUUAUCCGAUUGACGGUACCUCAGGAAGAAGCACCGGCUAACUCCGUG